GACGCGAAACAAACCGAUUUCGAUUCCUCCGAAAGUCUAUUCGAGAGUUAAAAGAACCGGAUUCACUCAUGCACUGGAAGGAGAAAAAAACAUUUUGAGACAGAAGUGCCUUCCAAAAAAUGCAACACAGAAACAAGACACACACACACACAACUGCACGUGAGGCAGGAGAGUGGCCAAAGGCUUGAGAAUUUCUCUUUUGAGUUUGCAUGGAUACGGCUAGCGGGCGGCCCAUGGUUACAAAGGAAGCAGACGUGAAAAGAUAGCCUGAAGCACAUGGACGAUGGUGAGCAGGACAGUAUUGCUGGCAGCACCCGGAAAGGGGUC